CAGGACUCGCACGCACGAGCGAGACUGCCCUCGGGGGGAGGCCUCCAGAUCCCUUCGCUGCCAGAUCCCUCCUCGCGAUCCUCCCGACGUCCUCGCGCCGCCGUCCUCUUCUUCUCUGCGACUCCUCUGUGCACGACGCCCUGACCGACGCCGGCGAGUCCUCGGCACUCCGCGUGCGCCUCGCAUCCAACGCCGGGGAGGAUCGCGUGACUCCGCCCGCGUCGUCGCCUCCGACGCUGGCCUCUCCUUCACCACCGUCCCUGCCGGCAGGGUCCCCCUCGUCAUGGCCUUCCUCGCCUGGGUGUACGUCACCAGCUGGCCAUAUGGCAGGACGCGCAGACCCGGGCGAUCCUCUCCGGCCUCCUUGAGAAGAGCUCGACUCCAGCCCGGCGACGACGAUGACCUGAUUCCUACCCGUGGACGAUGAUGUGCUCUGGCCCAACCGCAUCGACCUCAACAAGCCUCGUCAAGAAUCGUCACCGUGGGCUGCGCCCCUCUCUUCCUUCACGACCAGGAGUUGUCGAGGAGAACCAUCAACUUGAUUGAUUGGUUGUCUACUUGAAAAGAAAAGAAGAUGAAGACGAAUGAGUGGAUCUGAAGGAGAGAGGGCGAGAAGAAGAGGCGCCGUGUGUCUUGUAGUGGGUGAGAAUUGUCUAGCCGGCAAUGGAUUUCCAGCAAGGGUGGCAGAGAAAAAUCCAUGACGGGAUGAACACCACCACUACAGCAUCAUGAAUGUCAUCGAGUUCUCUUGGGCAAUAAAACUGCAGUCACUGGAGGGAGCAAACCAAAUGACCAUAUAUCUACUACUCAGAUCACGGGGGUUCUGGAGUCCUUGGCGUGUGCAAGUAUGCCCAACCUGCCAUAUCUCUAUGCUGCGGAUUUUAUCAAGGUCUUACAAGAACAACAUGCAUCCAACACCUACGCAAAAAUGAAGAAAGCACCUGGGGUACAUACUGCCCAGGAAUGGAGCCAUCGCCUCCUUCUGAGUAUAUUACCUGCUUAGGUGAUCUCUACAGUAUUUCCUGGAUGGAAGACAGGUAUGUAACUCGUAACCUGAAUUCACAAUGAUAAGAUUAAUUUACAGAGUACCAGUGUUUAGCAGAAUAGGGUACAAUGACCAGCAUCUGAUGAGUUAUAUUUGGUUGCAUUACUUUGCACUGCAUAGUACCUCAAGGAGGAUUUUGUAACAAGUCAUGUCCAUUCCUUCCUUUAGUUCCGAAGUACAUGGCAUAGAACCUGCUAAUUUGGAUUACACAAGUCUGCUGAAGAAUCUGUUUGUAUAUUAAGCAUUCACUUAAUGACAUGUUUGGUUAUCCUGGUUCCAGGCUCAGAUUGUUUGUAGAGUAAUCAUACAUCAAUAGUGUAUGUGUGGUCUGUAUAAAAUGGAUAGGCGUAGAUUUUCUUAAUCAACUUGGUGCGCAUUAUUGGUUCUAGCUGAAAUAUCUUUUCCCCUGCAUCUUACACUAAGGGAGAUUCAGGGAAGAAGUGAGGUGCAUAAAGUAUAACAACAAGGCAGGCAAGAUACUGGUGGUGUAGGCUUCAACAUUCAGUCGUUGUGGCCACAAUGCACUCUUAUUUCAUAAUAUACCUUGCAUGUUUUUUAUUUGAGAGGGAAUUAGAUUUAGCCUAGCCGUGCUAUCCAUCCCAGAUGCUAAUAAAUUGUGUAACUACGUAAGUUCUUUUUUGACUCAGAAAUAGCAUCGGCUGCAUAGAUGGAGUACGUUUUACAUGUUUUUUUGUUGUUGGAAAAAGUAUGCUUUUCAUCUUAACCAUACACUUGAAAAAAAAAUGCUAUUUUGCCAAAGAAUUUCUUGUCAGCUAUGGUAUUUAAGCUCAGAGUUACUAACUCAAUGAGGUGUAUUAUAAAUUUGGAGGUACUAAUUUUUUUUCAUAUACAUAAAUGUAUUUGACACCUCUGAGCAUCUACAGAUCUUGCAAUUGCUAGAUAGCAUUUGCCUUCCAAAUUUUUUCCUUGAGACCAUGUGGGUCUGAAGAUAAAUUGUUUAAUAGUGAAUGUUGUUAUGUUUAUGCAAGUUGGAUGCUAUUAAAAACUUCUUAUUUCCCAUUUUGGGUAUGAAUUAUGCUUUAUACUAGCUGUUAGAGAAAUAUUAGAACACAGUGUGCAUGAUAGUUCUUUUUAAAAUACCUAAAGAACUUUGGGUCCUGAUGAACUCACAGAAAAAGAGAUUUGAAAUUAGGUCCAAGCCUAAAGAAGGGCCACGCCUAAAAUAGAACACGGCACCCCUUUCUAAAAUUACUAACGGGGUUGAUGUUGUUGCACGUCGUGGCGGGGACGGUCGUGUAGCAGCCGUAUGUGCACUGCUUGUGCUAGGCGCCGAUCUGGAGGCCCCUGAUCGGAAGGGAAGCCACUGGAGCUGCUGCGGGAGAUGGUGGCGGUACGCUGGUAGAGCUUGGAGCAGACGUGGAGGGGCCGGACCUGCUGGUCCUUGAAGGUGCUGAAGGUGCUUCGAGAAAAAAAUCAGUUAGGUGUACAUGUACUAAGAAAAGGAACGGCUUGUGUUCCACGAUGGUACGUGCCGCAGUAUACUCAACGGAUGGCAGGUUCUUAUAUGCCAUAUGGAGAGGGAGAACCAGGUGCCUGAGGGACAUCGAGCUUUCCCAUGUCUUCUUCCUUCCAUUCAACGUUGUUAAGAUUUUGAAGAUUUUUGGCGAUCUGAACUCGCGUGACAUGGACCCUCUGCAACGGACUCUUGGCUUACAUCAACCAUUUUGUUGACCAAGUACCUGUAUUGCGGCAUGAUCCAAGGAGUGGGUCACUGCAUAUAUCCUGACAUGACUGGUCUUUUAUUGUUAUCUUCUUGGGAGUACUUGAGAAGGCGUGGCGGGGAAGGUGGGGACACGCCAUGGCAGAGGCCAGUGGCAAACCUACGUGUAAGCCCUGAGGUCCGGGGAAGGUAGCUUUAUUUGGCAAUGCCAAUGAUCAAGUUAGGGAUGCACAAGUCAACCAUGAGAUGUCGGAGACUGAUGUGGAUGCGCAAGGGCAGCGCUGGCCUCUGCCUAGAAGGGCAAUCACAGUGUACAGAGCUCUAGCAGCACUACGCCGUCAUCCUCUGCCUCACCCCGGCCGCAUGAAUUUCAAGAGAUGCAAGGAAGUAGGAGGAAGAAGAAAUGCAGGCGACCUCAUGAAAGUCACAGCAGCAAAGAUCCACAGUCUGUUAUUGUUAUCUUCUUGGGAGUACUUGAGAAGGCGUGGCGGGGAAGGUGGGGAAACGCCAUGGCAGAGGCCAGUGGCAAACCUACGUGUAAGCCGUGAGGGUAUUCUUGCUGGCGUCGUCGCUAGCAGAGGCGCAUGGUCGACAGGAAGAGCCAGGGCAUUGACACUUUUCGUGCUACCAACACUACAUACCAGCCACAAAAACACAAUAACAGUUGGGAGGGCUGCUUUAUAUCCCUAGACCCCCACCCACACCUGACCGCCAUCUCCCUCUUUCCUCGGUAUCAUAACCUGAUGCGACGUUGGCGGCGCAGCAGUCCGGAGGAGGCCAGCAGUGCCGACGACGGCUCUGCGAUGGGGAAAGGUCGCUCAUCAUUGCGGCACCAGCAGUUCCACGAUCACAUUAUAUCCGCGUGUUGAUGAGCAACAUGACUCUCCGCCCUUCCUCCCUCCAGGAAGAGACAUGAUCAUAUCGAUCACCAGUCAUGGAGUCAAGUGGUUGUUGUCGUCAAGCUAAAUGUUGCGUGGAUGCAGGUGGAUGUGGGCGCCGCGGCUGCCACCAAGGAUGUAGGGGUCAUGCUACAACCGGUGAGGACACAAUAGGCACUUUUUUUUGGGAUGGAGGGAGUAUUACAUUCCUUGUAAUCGCAUGCUAUAUUUUCAGUGGGAAUUCAUUGACACAGUUCCUUACAAAAGUUGUAUCUUUGACAUAGGCAAACUGCUCAAGUGAUUAUAUCAUCCAUUCUGAUUUUGAGGGAAAUA